CCUACGGGGGGCAGCAGUAGGGAAUAUUGCUCAAUGGGGGAAACCCUGAAGCAGCAACGCCGCGUGGAGGAUGAAGGUUCUCGGAUUGUAAACCCCUUUUGUUAGAGAAGAUAAUGACGGUAUCUGACGAAUAAGCAACGGCUAACUCCGUGCCAGCAGCCGCGGUAAUACGGAGGGUGCAAGCGUUAUCCGGAAUCACUGGGCGUAAAGAGCGCGUAGGCGGGAUAGCAAGGCAGUUGUGAAAUCCUAUGGCUUAACCAUAGAACUGCAUUUGAAACUGUUAUUCUAGAGUAUGGGAGAGGUAGGUGGAAUUCUUGGUGUAGGGGUGAAAUCCGUAGAGAUCAAGAGGAAUACUCAUUGCGAAGGCGACCUGCUAGAACGUAACUGACGCUGAGGCGCGAAAGCGUGGGGAGCAAACAGGAUUAGAUACCCGUGUAGUC
rnacentral:rRNA from 1 species